rnacentral:lncRNA from 1 species
AAGUUUAAUAAAAGCAUGCUUGUCAAAUACUUACAUUUCUAGUCCUAAAGCCCAACAUUAACCACCACCCACAAACAGUCUACGGAGCCUCUAAGUAUAAUAGAAGAGAAAUAGAGAAAUCCCGGUAACAAGGCUCCGGCUAUACCUCAAAACAUGAUGAGGAAAUGGAUAGAAGAUACAUAACAUGACCCCGGGAUAGAGUUCGGCUCACCAAGUCUGCUCGGAAGAGAAUACUGCUACACUGGCCGAUGCCGCUCGCUGUGGAACAACCUGUAUCAUAAAACAAUACAGCGCCCUCGGUAAAAGAGACGUUAUUGCCGUGGAAUAGCACUAGUAUGUAGGUCUAAAAGUCCUCUUUCAAAAUAGAAUGUCCAUAUAAGCAGAAACAACACAUAGAAACAACAAGUCACAAUCAACAAUAUCCAAAUAAUUAGUUGAAACAUAACGGUUUCCAAGUACAAAAAUAGUAUAUAUAUUUUGAUUGGGAGAUCACUAGCACCGAUAUUACUAUCGUCUUUGUUAGCACGGAGUCCGAACACGUCCGAUUGUUUAGGUCAUAUCCCCACGAAACAAUGUGGUCUGACAUUAUGAUGCGAAAGAAAGUUGUCACAAGAAUAGUACCAUCAUAUGCGUAACAUGGAAUCUGAUCUCCACCCGAUCAGCUAGGCCGCCUUCCCACAUGUGCAGUGUGGGCUGGGUUUUUCUUUUUCAAUUUACAAGGAUUAAUUUCAUCCCACUUUGGAGGAAUAGUCACAAUUUUAUAAAUAUUUUAAUUUCGUCCCAAAUCACACUCCACUCCUACACCGACACGUGUAGUUUCAGGUGUCGGCCUCAUGACCCACCCUUCCUCGCUAUUGCUAAUAUUACUUCAAAAAAUAUUUUUGAUUCUAUUUAAUAUUUCACACAAUUGUAGUAUAAAUAAAAAUAUACAAAUAUAGCAUAAUGCAACCAUGCUUACCUCAAUACCUUUCAUAUUUUAUAGAUUUAUUAAUGUUCUCAACAUCUCUCAACAAUAUCUCUUUGGCCCUUUGGGCCUUUCACAUUCAUCAUGGCACGAAGGCCGCAUAUGCCUUUCCACAUUUUCAUCUCCUUUAUUCCCAAGGAUCUCAACCAAUAUCAAUGUACCAAAUAUUCCAGAAAUCAUAUAUAUGUUCGAGUUCAAUAGUAAUAGAAUAAUCAAACACAAGGGAUUCUUCCCAAAGAAGGGCAUGUCAAUCAACAAUUAAAAUACACAUUGAAGUUAUAAGUAAACAAUCACCUCAACUACCCUUGAAGUAUCCCUUAUUUCCAACAUGUCCAAAGCACAAUUGCAACAUCAGAAUUUGUAAGAACUCGCGUUAUAUUGAAUUUAUUUAUAAGACAAAGCAUUAUCUAAAACAGCCAUUUAUGGGUAUAUUUCGAGUACAAGACCUUUAGACCGUUCUAUUCUUUUUCUUUUUUGAAGUUAGUUCAUAACGAUUGGGUCAAGAUUUAUUUCAUAAUUAUUUCACAUUUUCUCAUUCGAUUCAUUUUCAUACAUCUUUACAGUUUAUCAACAAGUAGAUAUAUUCAAUCAAGUCAUAUAAUAGACAUAAGAACAACUAGGAGCAUUAAACAUAUUAAGUUCUUCUUACCCAAUUAAUAUACUAACCUUCAUUUAAAAAUGUAACUCAAGGCUAUACCAUUUUGGUAGACAAACCACACUCAAACUCACAAAACAAUAUGCUUUCAAGAGAGAAAGUGUAACCUACAUACCUCGAUUGAGAUUUUCUUAAGUCCUACUAUACUACGAGACUCUUAGCAACGUCAAUCUUUUAGGAACAUGACAAAUAGAACCACAAAUUAGAGAGAUGAUCAUAGCUCUAGCUUGUUUGAGCACAUUCUCGAAUACUAAGUGUGCAUAAUGCUUUGAAAACUAUUUUCUGAAAGAUCCCACCUUCCCUCUUCUCAUCCUUAGCUCAAGACCUUAACAAAUACUUUAAGAACUUAUACAUGUAAGAUAUAUACUCCCAUCCUCAUGGAUUACCCUUUUAAUGGUCUACCUUAGUUAUACUCAGUAAUUAAGAGCUUGGAUUAUAGAACCUUAGUUCUUAGGAAGAAGACCUAGGUACCUUUCUUGACAAAUCUUCAAGGUUUAAAUAAGAUUUUAGGAGAAAUAUUGAUGAAGAACUCAUUCUCCCUCUAGGACCCUCUCUCUCUCUCUCUCUCUCUCUCUCUCUCUCUCUCUCUAUAAAUGCAUCAGAAAAAAAUUAAGAGCUUGGAUUAUAGAACCUUAGUUCUUAGGAAGAAGACCUAGGUACCUUUCUUGACAAAUCUUCAAGGUUUAAAUAAGAUUUUAGGAGAAAUAUUGAUGAAGAACUCAUUCUCCCUCUAGGACCCUCUCUCUCUCUCUCUCUCUCUCUCUCUCUCUCUC